rnacentral:rRNA from 1 species
AUUGAACGCUGGCGGCAUGCCUUACACAUGCAAGUCGAACGGUAGAGGGGGCAACCCCUCGAGAGUGGCGAACGGGUGAGUAAUAUAUCGGAACGUGCCCAGUCGUGGGGGAUAACGUAGCGAAAGUUACGCUAAUACCGCAUACGAUCUAAGGAUGAAAGCGGGGGACUCGCAAGAGCCUCGCGCGAUUGGAGCGGCCGAUAUCAGAUUAGGUAGUUGGUGGGGUAAAGGCUCACCAAGCCAACGAUCUGUAGCUGGUCUGAGAGGACGACCAGCCACACUGGAACUGAGACACGGUCCAGACUCCUACGGGAGGCAGCAGUGGGGAAUUUUGGACAAUGGACGCAAGUCUGAUCCAGCCAUUCCGCGUGCAGGAUGAAGGCCCUCGGGUUGUAAACUGCUUUUGUACGGAACGAAAAGGUUUCUAUUAAUACUAGGAGCUCAUGACGGUACCGUAAGAAUAAGCACCGGCUAACUACGUGCCAGCAGCCGCAGUAA